AUGUUGUUGACGUCACCGUCGAAGUUGAUCCCAAUCAAAUCCAAGUCAAACUUUUCAACAUAUGGAGCUUCGACGAUGAUUAAUAUAGAAAGUUUCAACAUGAUUUGCAAUUUAUUUUCAUUAUUUAUACUUACUUUUUAUUCUUGUAAUUAUUUUUCAUGUUGUUGUAAAUUUAUUCGUUACAUAUUAGAAUUGAAUUCUUCAUGCUCCGAUAAUUAA